rnacentral:rRNA from 1 species
AUUGAACGCUGGCGGCAUGCCUUACACAUGCAAGUCGAACGGCAGCGGACCUUCGGGUGCCGGCGAGUGGCGAACGGGUGAGUAAUAUAUCGGAACGUACCUUUCAGUGGGGGAUAACGUAGCGAAAGUUACGCUAAUACCGCAUAUUCUGUGAGCAGGAAAGCAGGGGAUCGCAAGACCUUGCGCUGAUUGAGCGGCCGAUAUCAGAUUAGCUAGUUGGUGAGGUAAAGGCUCACCAAGGCGACGAUCUGUAGCGGGUCUGAGAGGAUGAUCCGCCACACUGGAACUGAGACACGGUCCAGACUCCUACGGGAGGCAGCAGUGGGGAAUUUUGGACAAUGGGCGCAAGCCUGAUCCAGCCAUGCCGCGUGAGUGAAGAAGGCCUGGUGUUAAGACGUCUUUACCGGUAC